CUUGGUCAUUUAGAGGAAGUAAAAGUCGUAACAAGGUUUCCGUAGGUGAACCUGCGGAAGGAUCAUUACAGUAUUCUUUUUGCCAGCGCUUAACUGCGCGGCGAAAAAACCUUACACACAGUGUUUUCUUUAUUAGAAACUAUUGCUUUGGUCUGGCUUAGAAAUAAGUUGGGCCAGAGGUUUAACUAAACUUCAAUUUUAUUAUUGAAUUGUUAUUUUAUUUAAUUUGUCAAUUUGUUGAUUAAAUUCAAAAAAUCUUCAAAACUUUCAACAACGGAUCUCUUGGUUCUCGCAUCGAUGAAGAACGCAGCGAAAUGCGAUAAGUAAUAUGAAUUGCAGAUUUUCGUGAAUCAUCGAAUCUUUGAACGCACAUUGCGCCCUCUGGUAUUCCAGAGGGCAUGCCUGUUUGAGCGUCAUUUCUCUCUCAAGCCCUCGGGUUUGGUAUUGAGUGAUACUCUUAGUCAGACUAGGCGUUUGCUUGAAAAGUAUCGGUAUGAGUAGUACUAGAUAGUGCUUUCAGGAUAUUUCAAUGUAUUAGGUUUAUCCAACUCGUUGAGAAUUCUUGGUAGUGAAUUUUUAGUAUCAUGGCUCUGCCUUACAAAACAACAAACAAGUUUGACCUCAAAUCAGGUAGGAUUACCCGCUGAACUUAAGCAUAUCAAUAAGCGGAGGA
rnacentral:rRNA from 1 species